CCCUUUGAUGUUCUGGGCUGCACGCGCGCUACACUGAAGCUAUCAACACGUUUUCCCUCCCUGAGAAGGGCGGGUAACCUUUUGAAUCAGCUUCGUGGUAGGGAUCGGGGCUUGCAAUUGUUCCCCGUGAACCAGGAAUUCCUAGUAGACGCGAGUCAUAAGCUCGCAUCGAUUAAGUCCCUGCCCUUUGUACACACCGCCCGUCGCUACUACCGAUUGAACGUUUUAGUGAGGCAUUUGGACCGACGCAUCUCAGUUUAACCGCUGGUUUGUGUUGGAAAGACUUCCAAACUUGAGCGUUUAGAGGAAGUAAAAGUCGUAACA
rnacentral:rRNA from 1 species